CCACGCUGGCUGCUCCCAGGACCAGAAAGCCCUGGAUUUGGACCUCCAUUUCCAAACGACUGAUUAAGGAAGGACAUAUUGGGGACAUUUCCAAGCAUAUUCAUAUUAUUAAACUGAGUGCGUGGAGACACUAACGAAGGGAAUGCAGUCUGAGAAGGCAGAGGACCUCCUUGAGCUCCUAGCAUUCCCGAAUUUGAUCUCAAAAGCGAAGGAGAAACAGACUGGGCACCACCAAUUGGCGUCGGUGGCCCCGAGGGUACCAUUUUAUCAAGAAUGACA
rnacentral:misc_RNA from 1 species